CGCAAUACGAAUUGGAAUUGCUCACGCGUCUUCGUCUGCGCGAGCGGCGUGUGCGUCUGGUACUUUCACUAAACGACCGCCGAUCUUGCGAAGUCCGUUUUUGAUAAAGAGACAGAAGCAAUAAAUAAGUUGCAUUUUGCCGCAUUUUUCCCUGGAUCAUAAGAAACAUCGCGUAUAAAUCGAAGCAUACAUAUAUAAUAUAUAUAUAGUGGGGGAAAUGUACGAAGACUGAGAAUGUAAUGUACAUACAUCUAUCAGAUUCCGUUAUUUUUAUUACGUAUAGUCAGUUUUUAACCCUCUUACUUCUCAUUAUGAUUAGUCAAUUACUAAGUCCAAUAUCGUUACCUAAUUAAGCUCCCAUUAGUAAAUUUACCAGUUAAUUGGAAUACAAAAUAACGAUUGCGAUAAACUGUAAGUCUCGUGAGUUUUAUUGAAGGAGUCUCAGGUUCAGGGUCGGAACUUGCUCUAAGUAUGACUUCCUUCAAAAUCCAAUGCAUUUGUACAUCAAUAUAUUGGGGGGAAAAUGGGAGUAAUAUCAUCAUACCAUACAUGAUGUAUAGUCAUUAGUGAAUCUGUCAAUGUCCAACGCUUAUAAACGUUGUAGGGCUCAAAUUCCAAUGUCAACAAUUUUAGUUAGGAAUAUUUAGUCGAACAAAAUAUCGAUAAAUAAAUAUACCAUACCUUCAUAUUAAACGAAUAUGUACGUCGAAGUUAUAUAAUAUUUAUUUACGCGAUAUUAUGCCGUUAUGAUAUGUUCAGCUUAUUCGUUUCCUGUUUUUUAAGUAUGUUAGGAUAUUUGUAGUUACGAUUGGGGACUUGAUAACGUAUUCGUUACCGUAAAUAUAUAAUUGUGCUAAUAUUUAAUUAAAUGUAGACGUUUCGCUCCAAAAUUUAACACCUGAUUCAAUAAUACAUUUGAAAGGAUCGCUGACGUUGUUCUUUGUUCAUACCUGGUAAAAGUAUUAUAAUACUGAUAAAUUCUUCACUAAAGGAGGUUUUAGAAGAACGAAAAAGUUAACAAUAGAAACUAAUUUCUAGGUACAUCCUUGAUUACACCAGGUGUUUCCAGCAUAGAUUGGACGCCAUGAAAUAUAAACAUAGAUAAGUUAAAAAAUAUGACGUAAAUAACAAAUGGUUUUAUCACGUUAGAUUACAUUUUAUUGUUGUAUCUCUUCUUACCUUUUUCGUGGCUGACAUGAUAUCCACACAUGUAUGUAUAGUUUGAAAACCAAGGCUGUGGAUUCAUUGUGUUUACUCUGACGCAUGCAUUUUGAUGCCAAUUGCGUAUAUCCUAGUACCUAUUAGCUAGGCACAUAAAUAUAAACAUAAGUAAAGUCGUGAAUUUAGGGUCAGAUAACCAGGGUUCCCGAACGCAAAACAAUUACCGUAAAUGCGGGAAAAUUUCAAAACGAUAUAUGAUGGUAAACUACUGUU